rnacentral:rRNA from 1 species
GAUGAACGCUGGCGGCGUGCCUAAUACAUGCAAGUCGAGCGAACAGACGAGGAGCUUGCUCCUCUGACGUUAGCGGCGGACGGGUGAGUAACACGUGGAUAACCUACCUAUAAGACUGGGAUAACUUCGGGAAACCGGAGCUAAUACCGGAUAAUAUAUUGAACCGCAUGGUUCAAUAGUGAAAGACGGUUUUGCUGUCACUUAUAGAUGGAUCCGCGCCGCAUUAGCUAGUUGGUAAGGUAACGGCUUACCAAGGCGACGAUGCGUAGCCGACCAGAGAGGGUGAUCGGCCACACUGGAACUGAGACACGGUCCAGACUCCUACGGGAGGCAGCAGUAGGGAAUCUUCCGCAAUGGGCGAAAGCCUGACGGAGCAACGCCGCGUGAGUGAUGAAGGUCUUCGGAUCGUAAAACUCUGUUAUUAGGGAAGAACAAAUGUGUAAGUAACUAUGCACGUCUUGACGGUACCUAAUCAGAAAGCCACGGCUAACUACGUG